CAGUAGCCACGGUAAUACGUAGGGUGCGAGCGUUGUCCGGAAUUACUGGGCGUAAAGGGCUCGUAGGUGGUUUGUCGCGUCGUCUGUGAAAUUCCGGGGCUUAACUCCGGGCGUGCAGGCGAUACGGGCAUAACUUGAGUACUGUAGGGGUAACUGGAAUUCCUGGUGUAGCGGUGAAAUGCGCAGAUAUCAGGAGGAACACCGAUGGCGAAGGCAGGUUACUGGGCAGUUACUGACGCUGAGGAGCGAAAGCAUGGGUAGCGAACAGGAUUAGAUACCCCUGUAGUCCCUGUCUCUUAUA
rnacentral:rRNA from 1 species